CUCUUUUCCGCCAGCCGCCGCCGCCGUUUUCCCCGGUAUGGACGAACAGCGGGCGAGGUCUUUUAUGCCUUUCGCGGGAAGGUCAACAAACGGUGAGAAGCUAUCGAAAACGACCUGUUUUACCACAUUUCCAGGCCACUUGACCCACGGGGACCUGACUUUGCAACAUUCGUCGGGGGCGCUGCAAAAAGCUUAGCUUCUCGGAAACUCAGGCCUGCCUGUGUCUCUCAAGGAUGGACAGAGGUGGUUGUGGACUUAAAGACCCUUUGAUGUAAGGGAUAGAGAGAAGCUAAGUGAGCGCACCCAUCUCUGAGCAUUUCAACCGCGAGGGAAUCCGAGCAAAGUAACAAUAAGAUACAACUAAUAUCCUAGGAAUGCUGCUGGUUUCACGGAGCCAAAGCUGGAGAGGAGUUUGCCUGAGGAUGAAUUGUGCCGCAGCUCUUACCCAUAUCUGACUCGGAUGACAAUCUUGAGGCUGUUGGGAUGGAAUGUGUGCAUUUUGCAUGCAAGAAGGAUGUGAAUCGGGAGGAUGGAGCCAGUGGUGGAUUAUCAUGGACCGAUUAUUAUUAUCACCUCCGAGUCACAUGUUGAAGCCCUAGAACCCAGUGUGGCUCUAUUUAGAGAUAGGGGCUCCUAAGUUGGUUUACAGUGUUCUGUCAAUUUUCUCCUGUACUGUCGGGAGCCAUAAGGCUGCUCCAGUAAAGAAAGCAAAGCCACAGUCGGCACCUGCAUGAGGCUUGUCUGGUUAGCAGAGCUACAGACAAGCUGAAGAAAGAAGAAGGAUUGCAGAGCAAUCCCUUGAAAGACAUCGGCUCCAGGAAAAUAAAAAUGAUAUCCCCUAAAAAAUAUGUUAAUCUAUUUUUCUGUGUUUAUCUUUCCUUUUCUAUCUCUAUUCACAGCUUUCUUACUGCUAAAGAUUUGCCCUGGGUACGUAAAACACUUGAACCAAAACAGAAUGAAGUUAUUUAAACAAUGUAAUGGAAAAAGCCUUUGUUUUGGAGUAACAAUUUAUGGCACCUAUUUUGUGAGAGUAUACAGGGGAAACUUAUGAUUUCAGUCCCUUUACUUAAAAAGAAGUUUGGGGCUGGGAAAAUGUUGUUUGGCCUAUAAAUUGCUAUUUUCUAUAAUAGAUAUAUUUUUUAACAGUGUCACUUGUAACUUUCAUCCCUUGUGGGGGCAUUUGUUAAUUUUUGGGUAUAAUACUCCUUUCUAUUGAAAUUGGUGGUUUGGAACUUACGUAAAUCAGCACAAUAGGUUAAAUGCUUAGCUUGCUGGCGCCAAAUAAAUCGUGGUUUUAAGAAUGCCAUGAGCCCAAGGCUUUCAUGCGUUUUGUUAACCACAUACACCUUUAGUUAAAGAAUGUUAGGUAUCAUAGUUUAUUACUUAUUAAAGCUUUGUUCUUAAUAUAGAAUAGAAUAGCUACUGUUGUUGACCUUUUAAGAAAAAUACAGUGUGAAACUUUAAGUUUGUAAUCUUGAAGGAAAAUCUAAAGUUGAAAGGAACAUGUUUUAACUAACCUUUUUUUGUAUCUCGGGUGGAGGGAACAAAAGGGCUUUAAAUCAAAUGUUAAUGUCAAAUCUUACACGAAACCUGAUUGUGAUAGGGUAUAAAAACUGAUGCUUUUCAUUUAAUAAAUUGGGUCAUCUGCAGCAUGC
rnacentral:lncRNA from 1 species